CACACACACACACACACACACACACACACACACACACACUCACAAACUUAUCUACUGCCACUGGUCUGUCCCCUUUCGAAGCCUCUUUAGGUUAUAACCCUACUUUGUUCCCUGAGGUUGAAAGUGAGUGUGCUGUCACCUCUGUUCAGCAUCUUAUGCGCAGGUGUAAACAUCUCUGGAAGCAGACCAAGGCAGCCCUGUUGAGAAUAGCUGAACAGAACAAGAGAGUGGCUGACCGACAUCGUUCCCCAAGUUAUAAGGUUGGUCAAAAGGUCUGGCUCUCUACAAAAGACAUCCAACUGAAGGACACACUGGGAAAGCUGGCUCCUCAGUUUAUUGGACCUUUUCCAGUGGAACGCAUAGUCAGCCCCUCAGCGGUACAUCUCGCACUUCCUGCCUCUGUGUGCAUUUACCCAACGUUCCAUGUUUCUUAGAUUAAACCUGUAUCUGAGAGUCCUUUGAGCCCACCCACCAACCUCUCUCCACCAACCCGGAUCAUCGACAAUCAGCCUGCAUACACUAUUAAUCGUAUCCUGGAUGUCCGAAGACGUUGGGGGUCUACAGUAUAAUAUUUGGUGGACUGGGAGGGUUACGGCCCUGAGGAAUGCUCUUGGGUCCCUAGAGCUUCCAUACUCGACUUUUCCUUAAUUUCUGCCUUCUACAGGUCCCAUCCAGAAAAGCGAGUCAGAUUGCCUGGAGGUGAUUGUAGAGGGAGGGUAACUGUGAUGAUCAUGGCCUUCCUCUUGUCUUCCUGUUGCUGAUCACCUCACCUGUUGGCAGUUUCCACUAACGAGCUCCUGGGCUUUAUAAGAUCCACCUAGACUCUUGGUCUUCGCUGAUGCAUCACACCAUUUUGGUACGUCCACCAGGAUGUCUUCCACGCACCAGGAUUGCUCAGUUUGGACUAAUCCCCACAAGGACCUGCAACAAAGGAUUUUGCUGGUUAAAGUUUUUGAGUUGGCCACUCUGCCUGAAGUUUUUGUCUCUCACCUUUGGAUCAAGUUCCCUCCUGGACCGACUUCACCGCCUCCAACCUGAUUGAUGACCCAAAACCUCACUGCACCUGUAAAUAUAAUCACUUACUGUACCUUUUAUUGCUUGUGUCCUGC